UCCAAUUAUGCUUAUGGAUGAAGGAUUAAUCAAGAACAAUGCAAGGUUUAUGGAGAAAUUUGAUGAAAAAGUGAGAGCACCAAGUGAAGAGAAUUGUGAAACUAGAUCUAGAUCUGAGUAAAAUGAAGUGUUAAAUCCAAAACAGUUAUGAUUAUGCUAUAUAUAUAUGUUCUGUUAAUGAUGCAUGCUAAUCAUGAUUAAGCCAUGCCAAAGUAAUUAGUGAAAAC
rnacentral:lncRNA from 1 species